rnacentral:rRNA from 1 species
GACAGAGGGGGCAAGCGUUGCUCGGAAUUACUGGGCGUAAAGGGCGCGUAGGCGGGAUGGCAAGUCGGUCGUGAAAUCCCUCGGCUCAACCGAGGAACGUCGAUCGAUACUGCUGUUCUUGAGGAUUGCAGAGGAGACUGGAAUUCCCGGUGUAGCGGUGAAAUGUGUAGAGAUCGGGAGGAACACCGGUGGCGAAGGCGGGUCUCUGGGCAAUUCC